rnacentral:rRNA from 1 species
CCAAGUGAGUAGGGAGAGAGUCUAGGCAAAUCCGGACGCUCGUUAAUCCUGAGACACGAAUGCGAAGGUAGACUACGGUCUGCUGAAGUCGCUGAUGCCCUGCUUCCAGGAAAAGUCUCUAAGGCUAGGUUUACGCGAACCGUACCCUAAACCGACACAGGUGGACAGGUAGAGAAUACUAAGGCGCUUGAGAGACCUCGGGUGAAGGAACUAGGCAAAAUAGCACCGUAACUUCGGGAGAAGGUGCGCCUCUGUUAAGUGAAGUCCUUUACGGAUGGAGCUGAGAGAGGUCGAAGAAACUAGGUGGCUGCGACUGUUUACUAAAAACACAGCACUCUGCAAACUCGUAAGAGGAAGUAUAGGGUGUGACGCCUGCCCGGUGCCGGAAGGUUAGUUGAUGGGGUCAGCCGCAAGGCGAAGCUCUUGAUCGAAGCCCCGGUAAACGGCGGCCGUAACGAUAACGGUCCUAAGGUAGCGAAAUUCCUUGUCGGGUAAGUUCCGACCUGCACGAAUGGCGUAACGAUGGCCACGCUGUCUCCACCCGAGACUCAGUGAAAUUGGAAUUGCUGUGAAGAUGCAGCGUACCCGCGGCAAGACGGAAAGACCCCGUGAACCUUUACUAUAGCUUUACACUGGACUUUGACUCUAUUUGUGUAGGAUAGGUGGGAGGCACUGAAGCGUGGACGCUAGUCCAUGUGGAGCCAACCUUGAAAUACCACCCUGAUAGCGUUGAAGUUCUAACCUAGGCUGCUGAAUCGCGGCUGGGGACAGUGUAUGGUGGGUAGUUUGACUGGGGCGGUCUCCUCCGAAAGAGUAACGGAGGAGCGCAAAGGUACCCUCAGCAUGGUCGGACAUCGUGCGAAGAGCGCAAAAGCAAGAAGGGUGCUUGACUGCGAGAGCGACGGUUCGAGCAGGUACGAAAGUAGGUUUUAGUGAUCCGGUGGUUCUUAAUGGAAGGGCCAUCGCUCAACGGAUAAAAGGUACUCCGGGGAUAACAGGCUGAUACCGCCCAAGAGUUCAUAUCGACGGCGGUGUUUGGCACCUUGAUGUCGGCUCAUCACAUCCUGGGGCUGUAGUCGGUCCCAAGGGUAUGGCUGUUCGCCAUUUAAAGUGGUACGCGAGCUGGGUUUAGAACGUCGUGAGACAGUUCGGUCCCUAUCUGCCGUGGGCGUUGGAGAUUUGAGAGGAGCUGCUUUUAGUACGAGAGGACCGAAGUGGACGUACCUCUGGUGUGGCCGGUUGUGUCGCCAGACGCAUUGCCGGGUAGCUAAGUACGGACGGGAUAACCGCUGAAAGCAUCUAAGCGGGAAGCCCCCCUCAAGAUGAGAUCUCCCUGGCCGAAAGGCCCGUAAAGUUAGUUGAAGACUACGACAUAGAUAGGCGGGGUGUGGAAGCACAGUAAUGUGUGGAGCUAACCCGUACUAAUUAACUGAGAGACUUAUCCU